rnacentral:rRNA from 1 species
CCUACGGGAGGCAGCAGUGAGGAAUAUUGGUCAAUGGACGCUAGCCUGAACCAGCCAAGUAGCGUGAAGGAUGACUGCUCUAGGGGUUGUAAACUUCUUUUAUAUGGGAAUAAAGUGCAGUAUGUAUACUGCUUUGCAUGUACCUUAUGAAUAAGGAUCGGCUAACUCCGUGCCAGCAGCCGCGGGAAUACGGAUGCUCCGAGCGUUAGCCGGAUUUAUUGGGUUUAAAGGGAGCGUAGGCGGGUUGUUAAGGUAGUUGUGAAAGUUUGCGGCUCAAACGUAAAAUUGCAGUUGAUACUGGCAGCCUUGAGUACAGUAGAGGUAGGCGGAAUUCGUGGUGUAGCGGUGAAAUGCUUAGAUAUCACGAAGAACUCCGAUGGCGAAGGCAGCCUGCUGGACUGUAACUGACGCUGAUGCUCGAAAGUGUGGGUAUCAAACAGGAUUAGAUACCCUUGUAGUC